rnacentral:lncRNA from 1 species
CGCCGCGCAACUCAGACCACUGGAGCGGAGUAGUAUCUGGAGUUUCUGUAACAUCCUUUCCCUUUUUUUUUUUUUUUAAAGCCAGAGCCUCUGUCGCCCAGGCUGCAGUACAGUGGCGUAAUCUCAGCUCACUGCAACCUCUGCCUCCCGGGAUCAAGCGAUUCUCCUUCCUCAGCCUCCCGAGUAGCUGGGAUUACAGGUGCCCGUCGGCUAAUUUUUGGUUUUUUGUUUUGUUUUGUUUUGUUUUUUUUGUUUUUGUUUUUGUUUUGAAACGGAGUCUCUGUCGCCCAGGCUGGAGUGCAACGGCGUGAUCUCGGCUCACUGCAACCUCCGCCUCCCGGGUUCAAGCGAUUCUUCUGUCUCGGCCUCCCAAGUAGCUGGGAUUACAGGCGUCCACCACCAGGCGCAGCUAAUUUUUUGUAUUUUUAGUAGACACGAGGUUUUGCCAUGUUGGCCAGGCUGGUUUCGAACUCCUGGCCUCAAGUGAUCCGCCUGCCUCGGCCUCCCAAAGUGCUGGGAUUACAGGCGACACCCUUUGCUUUUUUUUUUUUUUUUUUUUUGAGGCGGAGUAUCACUCUGUUGCCCAGGCUGGAGUGCAAUGGCGUGAUCUCGGCUCACUGCAACCUCUGCCUCCCAGGUUCAAGAGAUUCUUCUGCCUCAGCCUCCCAAGUAGCUGGCACUGCAGACACGCACCACCACACCCAGGAUGGUGCUAGCAUAUAUAAGACUGAAACACCAAAGUCCUCCGUGGAAGUUAAUGAAUUUCUAAUAGUGAAAUAAGGUGGCCAAGGAGGCAGAGAUGGAGUCAGGGACUCUGUGAUCAACCCUGAGGAUUGGGAAGGAACUAUACAUACCAGGAGGCAAGGAGCACUGGGGGCCCUCCUGGAACUGCCUGUCACAGCGUCCUCAAAGCAGUAUGAUGGUACUUCCAGUACCCCAGUGACACCUAGCCUGAGAAAGAAGCAGAGAUAAAGUCUAUAGAGGAAGAGAGCAUCUGAAUGACGUUUGAGUCCCUGGAUCCACUGUGUGAAGCCAGAGCCACUCCUGCAAGUGUUUUGUUUAGGUUUAAAUUUGAUUGAGAUUUUUAUUACUUCAAAGUAAAAAAUUCUUACUAAUGCAAUGCCUUCAGCCUUCCACCUCAAAGUCACUGAAAGGAUCUUAAUAUUUU